GAUCACAGUGAGGAUAAAAUGAGAUAAUACUUUCAAAGUGUCUAGCAGAAGGCCAGGAACAGAAUAAGUGCUCACAAAAUUGGAAUGAUAAGAUCAUUGUAAGUGCUCCGAAAAUCCUUACUAGUGGUUACUGUUAGAAUGAGUACCUACCACCACAUGCAUAAGUCCUUUGGCGAUAGGUAGUAUCGCCCCCAUCUUUCUGAUGAGAAAACUGAGGCAUUGCAGGAUUUGCCCAAGGCAGGUAGUUAGGACACAAUCAAGAUUUCAACCCUACGCUAGAAGAUCUAUGGGCACCCAGACCUGGAUGGGGGAACUUAGCGGCUGGGUGGCAGAGAUGAGACCUGUGUGUACCGAUACCCAGAAUAAGAGAUGGAGAGUGAAGCCCUGACAGGCACAGUGCAGGGGUUGGGGGAGGAGACGCCGGAGCAGCAUGUGUGCACUUCAGAGCAGCCGUGGAGGCCUGAAUGCAAAGUCACUGCCAGGUGGCUCUAGGUGGAGAUGCAGCCUUGGGUUUUAGAACGUGAGGUGAAGCCAGGCGCCCUCCCAGGAUGGGUGAGGAGAGAGGAGAUGCAGAUACUCCAGCUGGACCAGUGACUCCAGCAGGUGCUUGCAGACGACUGGCUUGCCAGGCACCAGCCCAAGAGCAGUGGGUGUGCGCCGCCAAGCCUGCGUGCGGCCCUGGCGCCCUCUGCCGGCUUCUCCCGGAGCAACAACUUAGCACCCAGCUUUCUCCAGCCGGCCCUUCUGGUGGGACAGAACUCCCAAGGAAACAGGGCCAUCACUGCCCGGACGAGUUUCCUGUGGCUGCCAUAAGAAAGCACCACAGACAGUGUGCUGGUUUAAAAAAACAGAAAUCUGUUUUUUGUUUUUGUUUUUGUUUUUGUUUUUGUUUUUCCAAUUCUGGAGGUUGCAAAUACAAAAUCAAGGUGUCAGCAGGGCCGUGCUCCCUUUGAAGGCUCCUGGGAGGAUCCUUUCUCUUCUCUUUCAGCUUCUGGUGGCUGCCAGCAGCCCUUGGCUUGUGGAUGCAUCACUCUACUCUCUGCCCCUGUGAUCAAAUGGCCUUUUCCCCCGUGUGUCUGUGUCUCCAAAUCUCCCUCCCUAGAAUGCUUCCAGUCAUUACAUUAGGGUCCACUAAUUAACCAGUUACAUCUGCAAAGACCCUGUUUCCAAAUAAAGUGACACUCCCAGGUUCCAGGAUUUAGGACUUCAACAUAUCUCUUUGGGGGACACAGUUCUCCCCACAGCACUGCCCAUAUAGCAUCUUUGUUCAAGUCACAUAAAGACACCCCCUCCUGAAGGCAGGCAUGGCUGCAAUAGUCAUGCACAGGCUGGGUCUGAGCACCUCACUCACCCCUGAGCCGGGCACGCUUGCACAGUUAACAACCUGCACAACUGUAAGCAGCAGCCCUAUUCUGGAAACUCUCGUUUAAAAGCUAAGCAUCCAUCCCAGGUAGAAGGUCCACUUCAACCUGGGCCAAAGGUGCCCAGAGCUCAAAGGAGGGGCCUGAGUGGCCUCACCCCGAGGGGUGGGGUGGCGAGGCAGGGCCUGCAGCAGGCGAGGCCGUAAGUGAUGCAUUAUCUGCAGGGAAUUUAAGAACAGCAACAAGGCUGACCUAAAAGUUGGUCUGUUUCUUAUUAUCACCAUGCAUCCACUAUUUUAAACAAUGUCAGUCAUGAAACUCUCCUCCUCCACCCAAAUCUGCUGGUUUAAGUUCCAAACAACUGCUGUUAUCAUUGACUUGUCAUCACAUACGGAAGCUUCAGACCAGCACACACUCAUUACUCACCUUUUCACAAACACCGUGGCCUGCUGGAAGUUAUCCAGAGAGCUGCAAGUUAGCAGCUGGACCCGACAUACACAUUCAUCUUGAGCUGGUGAGGUUUGGGGACCACUGGCGAUCACAGCCCCAGUAAGAUCAGAGACAGCUGAGACCAGUGGUAAAAUCAAUGUCCAUCCUGAAAGCAGAGUGACUGUAAAGACAAAGACAGAUCUCAGGCUCCUUCAAACCUGCUGUGCUGCUGGACACUGGGAGUGUUUAUUCGUUUGUAAGCCUUACAACAAUGAAAUGGAGAGCCAAGUGUGAGAUGUGACAGGUCUGUAUCCUGAAUGUGGUGGUUACUACGCAGGUGAUAAAACGGCAAAGGAACAACACACGUGGACCAACAUCAACUUCUUGCUUUUGAUUUUGAUUCACUGUAGUUAAUCUAAGAUGCCACUAGGGGAGCAGGGUGGAGGGUAUCCAGGGACCUCUCUCUAUCACCUUUGCAACUUCCUCUGAAUCUAUAAUAUAGCUCAAAAUAAAAAGUUAGAAAAGUUA